GUAAAACAUAGACACCUGAGCUGAGAAGUUGCUGUUUCCAAGAGAUUAUGUCUGAGUACCAUAAAUGCAAGCAAGGAAAGGCUGAAUUGCCACCAAUGCCUGAGGCAUUUCCAUAGACAAAACGCUGAGGAGCGGAACUAAAUAAAGCCAAGGGUGAAGCUCUAAGCCCCAACACUGAAUUUGACCAGUGGGCAGCUUCUCUCUGGGUGUUUGCCCUUCAAAAAAGUUUAAGUGGUCUGGGGAAAGCACUCCAGAUGUGAUGUUCAGAGCCAUGUGGCAGCAUGGGAAGGACUGGUGUUACCCCGCUGGGUACAAUCAAAACUCUGCAACAAGACUCACCCAUAUACUCUGCAGUGAACCUCCUCUGAGGCUUCUCCAUGUGCAGUGUACAAGGGUUGUACCCCUGAAAUGCUGUUGGACAGUCCAGUAAUGAGCUGUGGAUAGGGGCCCUUAGCAAGUCCAUCUUCUAGACAGCUUGAAAAUGCUUCCUCUUUCUAACAUGCUCCACCCACACUGCCUGCCCUGGCUUUGUCA